AGGAAGCUUUUGAACAUAGGUAGCUUGAAAUCUAGAUACUUUAUUUGAAAUUAUUAAAAGAACAUGUCAACAACUGUCAAAUUGGGUAUGGUACAAUAAUCAAUUUUAUGUUUCUGUGUGCUUAUAGUUAAUUAGCAUUUUCUAAUGGUUAGGCUAGUGUUAUUUUAUUGCUACAACUAUAAUUAGAGUUCAUUCUCAUAUCUCCCAUGUUAGAAAUCAAAACAAAUGAGAACGAACUGAAAUAAUAUCCAUUACAUGCUACAGGAAAAAUAUCAAGAAGGGGGUGCUAACAGUAGCAAAUGAUCUAUGUUACAAUGAAAUAUAGCUAUUUUUGCUUUUUAAGAUUCUAUUUAUGAACCCAAUUGUACUAGGCAAACUGUAUGUGCAGAAAAUUUCAAGAACCAGAUACCCCAAGGAGGUAUUAAAAGGGAGAAAUAUAGUGGAGCGCAAAGUACGAUGUUCUCAACAAAGGUCUCAAAAAUAUGCACCAAAAGAGCAAAAAUGAGACAAAACUGCUACAAACAGAUCACUCUGACAAGUAAGUGCUUUUGGAAUGAAAAAUUAAUUUUUUGGCUAAUCUUUCCCUCUCAUUAUACAGAUGAGGCUCUAUGGCUUCUCCUCUCCAUUAUAUAGAUGAGGGAGACCAAUUGAUUUUUCCAAAGCUUACAAAGGUACAUUUCACACAUGGCUUAGAUCGGGGAGCCUUUUUGUGAAGAGGAUAGCAGAAUGUUUAAAUUCUCUUCAACUUAGUAAUAUAAUUUGUAGAAUUAAGAGGUUUUAAGAUUCUCUUAUAUACAUUUUUAUAUAUUAUAAACAUACAAGGUUAUAUAGAUUAUCAUACAUAACUAUAUAUAAUGUAUAUAAUUGUGUGUGUGUGUGUGUGUGUAUACAUCUCAUCCUGAGUCCUUUUUAGCGUUAUCUCAUUACUGUUCAAAAAUAUAAAAAAGAAUUUAUAAUAAAAGAUAUGGUUGUGUUCAGAUAUAAUUGGGAUAAGACCACCUAAUAUGUAUUUAUCUUUAAUAUCCAAGAUUUUUUUCAAAUAUAACUAAGCACAAUAAGAACAUUCUACCACAGGUUAGUUUCAAACAAGAUUACUCAACCGUGGCGCUACUAAUAUUUGGGCAGGAUAAUUCUUUGUUUUGAGGGGCUGUCCAAUGCAUGAUAGGGUAUCUAGCAGCAUCCGUGGCCUCUACCCACCCCUAGAUGCUAGUAAUACCCCUAGUCACAAGCAAAAAUGUCUCUUGACAUUGCAAAAUGUCCCCUCGGGGCAAAACUCCUUGGUUUAAAAACACUGGUUUUAACAUCAUGUCUACAACAAAGCAAAUACAACUUCCAGCUGUAUGAUAACACUCUGAAGUCAACUAUGAUUAACCUAGAGGUGAAUUUUUAUUCUAAUUCAAAAUAUAUCAUGGCUAGACCCAAGUUAAAUUAAUUAUACCAGUUUUUGUCUAGAGCUGAACUUCCAGUACAGUAGUCAGUCACUAGUCACAUCGGAAGGGAGAUGUAUAGUGAGGGUGAAAUACGCACUGGAUUUUGAAGACUUGACAGAAAAAAAGAAUGUAAAAAUAUCGUAAUUUUUAUGUUAACUGAGCUAGUUUGGGUAUACUUGGUGAAAUAUUAAAAUUAAUUUCAUCUGCUUUUACUUUUUUUAAAGGUGCUACUAUAAAAUUCUAAGUUACAUAUAUGGCUCACAUUAUAUUUCCAUUGGACAACAAUGGCCUAGAGACUGGAAGUGAUUUAGUAUUAAUUUAUAAUAAAUUCUUCAGUCUACCAAAUAAGCUACAAAGACUUUGUAAAGCUCUCCACAGCCCUAUGAAACCAGCUCAUAACUCUUUUGAGCAUCACAAUUCUUUAUUGUCAUGCCUAAAUGAUUUGUCUCCUUCUUUAAACCAAUUACUUCUAUUCCAAUGCUUUAUUCUCAGUGUUUCAACUGGUUCUUUUCUGAUUGUUGAUUUAUCUUCAUGUUGUUUUUUAUCAUUCUUUUGCAUGUUAGUUUCUUUUGUACACUCAGGCUCUUUCCUUGUGGGAUGUUGAGAUGCUGCGGCAUCCAUCAUACUUAGAAAA